rnacentral:rRNA from 1 species
GACGAACGCUGGCGGCGUGCUUAACACAUGCAAGUCGAACGGAAAGGCCCUGCUUUUGUGGGGUGCUAGAGUGGCGAACGGGUGAGUAACACGUGAGUAACCUGCCCUUGACUUUGGGAUAACUUCAGGAAACUGGGGCUAAUACCGGAAAGGAGCUCCUGCUGCAUGGUGGGGGUUGGAAAGUUUCGGCGGUUGGGGAUGGACUCGCGGCUUAUCAGCUUGUUGGUGGGGUAGUGGCUUACCAAGGCUUUGACGGGUAGCCGGCCUGAGAGGGUGACCGGCCACAUUGGGACUGAGAUACGGCCCAGACUCCUACGGGAGGCAGCAGUGGGGAAUAUUGCACAAUGGGCGGAAGCCUGAUGCAGCAACGCCGCGUGCGGGAUGACGGCCUUCGGGUUGUAAACCGCUUUCGCCUGUGACGAAGCGUGAGUGACGGUAAUGGGUAAAGAAGCACCGGCUAACUACGUG